UACGUAGGGGGCAAGCGUUGUCCGGAUUUAUUGGGCGUAAAGAGCGUGUAGGCGGCCAGGUAGGUCCGCUGUGAAAACUCGAGGCUCAACCUCGAGAUGUCGGCGGAAGCCAUCUGGCUAGAGUCCGGAAGAGGAGAGUGGAAUUCCUGGUGUAGCGGUGAAAUGCGCAGAUAUCAGGAAGAACACCCGUGGCGAAGGCGGCUCUCUGGGACGGUACUGACGCUGAGACGCGAAAGCGUGGGGAGCGAACAGG
rnacentral:rRNA from 1 species